UGAACGCUGGCGGCAGCCUACACAUGCAAGUCGAGCGGCAGCACGGGUACUUGUACCUGGUGGCGAGCGGCGGACGGGUGAGUAAUGCCUAGGAAUCUGCCUGGUAGUGGGGAUAACGCUCGGAAACGGACGCUAAUACCGCAUACGUCCUACGGGAGAAAGCAGGGGACCUUCGGGCCUUGCGCUAUCAGAUGAGCCUAGGUCGGAUUAGCUAGUUGGUGAGGUAAUGGCUCACCAAGGCGACGAUCCGUAACUGGUCUGAGAGGAUGAUCAGUCACACUGGAACUGAGACACGGUCCAGACUCCUACGGGAGGCAGCAGUGGGGAAUAUUGGACAAUGGGCGAAAGCCUGAUCCAGCCAUGCCGCGUGUGUGAAGAAGGUCUUCGGAUUGUAAAGCACUUUAAGUUGGGAGGAAGGGCAGUUACCUAAUACGUAUCUGUUUUGACGUUACCGACAGAAUAAGCACCGGCUAACUCUGUGCCAGCAGCCGCGGUAAUACAGAGGGUGCAAGCGUUAAUCGGAAUUACUGGGCGUAAAGCGCGCGUAGGUGGUUUGUUAAGUUGGAUGUGAAAUCCCCGGGCUCAACCUGGGAACUGCAUUCAAAACUGACAAGCUAGAGUAUGGUAGAGGGUGGUGGAAUUUCCUGUGUAGCGGUGAAAUGCGUAGAUAUAGGAAGGAACACCAGUGGCGAAGGCGACCACCUGGACUGAUACUGACACUGAGGUGCGAAAGCGUGGGGAGCAAAC
rnacentral:rRNA from 1 species